UACGUAGGGGGCAAGCGUUGUCCGGAUUUAUUGGGCGUAAAGAGCUCGUAGGCGGUUUGGUAAGUCUGGUGUGAAAUCUCCACGCUCAACGUGGAGGGGGCACCCGAUACUGCCAUGACUGGAGUCCGGUAGAGGAGUGUGGAAUUCCCGGUGUAGCGGUGGAAUGCGCAGAUAUCAGGAGGAACACCAAUAGCGAAGGCAGCUCGCUGGGACGGUACUGACGCUAAGGCGCGAAAGCGUGGGGAGCGAACAGG
rnacentral:rRNA from 1 species